GCAGAAACAGCCGUGUUCUGGUGUGUUUUCUUGCUGAGGAGCUCGGGGUUUAUAUUCCCAGCUGUUUCGAAUCAUAGACAAGGCCAGAAGAAGCGGUCAGAUCCCUUGGAACUGGAGUAUAGGCCCCUGCGAUCCACUUGAUGCAGUUGCUGGGAAUUGAACCUGCGUGCUUUGGAAGAACAGCCAGUGCUUGAGCAACUGCGGAGCCUUCGACGGGCCCCUUCUCAAUGAAGUGCCUUUAGAUUUAAUUUUAAAA
ensembl:sense_intronic Gm13840 predicted gene 13840